rnacentral:lncRNA from 1 species
AUGCCUAGAAGGCUUUCAACUAAUGAGCUAAUGUGGGUACUGCCAAGGGAAGUCAUUUCCGUGAAGCACUGGUGUGAACAACAGUCACAGGUGGGAAGAGCAAUGGGACAAGGAAGAGGAGGAAGGAAACAGUCCCAUAAUUUUAGAAAGAGUGUGAAAAAAAGAAGCUAGACAUCUAGGUUCUAUUUCUGGCUCUGCCUCUGUUUUCUAGCCAGCCAGCCAUCUCUCUACCUAUCUCUACAUUAAUUGCAAAAGGUGGAGAAGAAUACAGACUGGGUAUAAAGCACCUUGUCAUGCUUGGAUGAAAGGUCCUGUGUCACAGCCAGCGCACACCCAGAAUUGAUCAUGUUAUGAAAUCCACACUGUGUUGUAAUAUAUAAGUUUCAAGUUUCUCGGGAAUACUUUUACUCUGAAUUCAUCAAGUUAGAGAAAACAAAAUUGCAUUUUUAGGUGCGAACAACAAAAUGGAUGUAACACACUGAAAACAGAGGAUGGUUGUGAGAAAGGCUUACCCUGUACAAACUUGUAAUGUCAGUGAAAUUUGUGAUCCUUCCUAUCCUUUCUCUUCCUGCAUUAUUUCUUCCUUAUCAAGUGCCCAUUCCCCUAAAUCCCAUUUUUUUCUUAUCAUCCUAUGUCCUCAGUAUUAAUGACUAGAUAAUU